UCUCCAUUACGAUGAACCUGCAGAGAACUU
rnacentral:piRNA from 1 species